rfam:Gallionellales bacterium RIFCSPLOWO2_02_60_31 rifcsplowo2_02_sub10_scaffold_9947, whole genome shotgun sequence.
CCCUCCGAGGGGUGCUGCAGCGGGUCUGGACAACCAGUCCCCCGUCAGGCUCGGAGCAGCGAUUUCGUUCCAACGGCACCUGUUCAUU